rnacentral:rRNA from 1 species
UACGUAGGGGGCUAGCGUUGUCCGGAAUCAUUGGGCGUAAAGCGCGUGUAGGCGGUUCGGUAAGUCCGCUGUGAAAGUCGGGGGCUCAACCCUCGGAUGCCGGUGGAUACUGUCGAGCUUGAGUACGGAAGAGGCGAGUGGAAUUCCUGGUGUAGCGGUGAAAUGCGUAGAUAUCGGGAGGAACACCUGUGGCGAAGGCGGCCCCCUGGUUGGAUACUGACGCUGAUACGCGAAAGCGUGGGGAGCAACAGG